UAUAUAUUAAUUUAGAAUUAAAAACAAAAUAUUUAUAUAAAGAUAAAUGAAAACAAAAACCCGUGCAGUAAACUUAUUAUGUUUUAAAAAUUGAUAGGCACAUAUAUAUUAUAAUAUAUACCAAUUUAGAAUUGAAAACAAAAUAUUUAUAUAAAAAUAAAUAAAAAUAAAACCCGUUUAAUUGUACAGAUCGAAAUCUAGUAAUAUUUAAAUAAUAACAAAUGACAUGUUUUUGGGAAAUAGUGAUAUCGGUAAAAUAUAUUCUUUAAGUUUUAUAUUAAAUGUCCUUUUAGCUUUUAAAAUUUGUUUUAUUAUAAACCUAAAACAUAAAACAAUACAUACAUAUAUUAAAUUAUUUUUUCAGUUUUUACUCUUAUUUCUAAUUCAUUAAUUAAUAAAACAAAGUGUACUAAAAGUUAAUAAAACAGGAAAAUUAUUAUAUUUUUUAAUCUGUAUGCAAAAACAUAAAAUAAUAUUUAUCUAUUAUAAAACGGAGAAAGUUUUAUUUUAAGAAUGCCACCAAAUCCUAAUGAUACAUCGAUAGCAAAAGAUCUAGUAGAGUAAUUCAGCAUACUUUUAAAACCUCGACAACAAAACUAGAUUUCGUCUUGCCGCUUGGUGGCUGGCAAACUCAUCAAAAUUGUGGACUAGAUAAGAUUUUGAUAAAUCUAGAGAAUAGAUAAGAUUUUGAUAAAAUAUAGCCUAGAUAUUAAAUUCAUCGAAGAUUGUGGGCCAGACAUUACAUUCACUGCAAAUUAUGGCAUACCAAAACAAAAUAUAGUCAAUUCGACUUAUCCGUUGGUUUCGGAGGCCUGUGAUUUUUAUCCGAGAUUUAGAUUCAAUCUGAAAUUCGAUCCGGAUCCGAUCCAGAAAUCUGGAUAUCUAGAGGGGCUGAAUCCGGACCCGCAUAUUAAAAUGUUGGAUCUGUCAAAGCUGGAUCCAGAUCCGAAUAUUUUAAUUUUUUAAUCCGGAUAUCCGGAUCCGUAAGUUUUAUUAAUGACUAUUUCAAAAAUUGUAAUAUCUAUACAUAAAAUGUAAUUUUAUUUAAUAUAUUUUCAUUUUUAUAAUUUUAUAUAUAAAUUUUAUGUAAAUUUUGUAACAUUAUACAUAGAAAUAAUUAAAAACGUUAUAUAUAUUUUUCUUAUUUUAAAAUUAUUUUUAAUAUUUUAUAUAUAUUAAAAUUAUUUUUUAUUUAUUUUAAGGAUCUAAAUCCGAAUCCGGAUAUACACCGGAUAUUACAAUUUUUAGAAGGAUAUCCGACACACGGAUAUCCAAGAACCCCGGAUCCGGAUAAUAAUAGUAAAAUUAUGGAUCCGCCGGAUAAGGAUCCGGAUCCGGAUACCUUAAAAUUACCCGAUUAUCCGAUCUGUCCCAAGCCUAGGUUUCGGUGCAUGUGUAUGCCAAAACAAAAUCAGGAUUUAAGAGUAGUUCUACAUUAGGAUUUUGGGGCCGUAUAUUUGUAUGUGGUCUAACUAAGUUUGGUUUGAUGUUUAUCAAUUUUAUUAAAAUAGAAGUCACAAUUUUAUUAUUUAUGUGUGAUAUUUCAAGUUGGACCAUUAUUAAAAAAAUUUAUCAAAUAUACAUAAUUUCAUGAUAAUAUCUUUUAUUAUAUUUAUUUUAUAUUUAAAAUAAACUAAAUAUUUAUUUAAGAAAAUUCUAACAAAUUUGUUUUAAAUUUUUUCAGUUGCAUUUUAAAUUCUUUUCCAAAACUUGAUUAAUUGAAAUUUUAGUUAUCUUAAAAAAAUAACCAGAAAUUGAAAUUUAAUUUAUUUUUGAUUCAUAAACGAAAAUUAAAAAAUUAUAUAAUGUAUUUAAUGAUAAUAACAACUCAAAAUUAUUACUUUUCAAAAAUACAUUUUACCAAGAUUUUAAAAUGAUUUUGUUGGAAAGAAAGAUAUUUCUAUUUAAAUUUUAAAAUAAAUAUCUUAUUUAUUAAACACAUAAAUCAUUACUUAUUACAUGUGUGAUUUUUUUUAAUUUAAACUACUUUUUAGAGGUUGCAACUUUAAAUACUUCUAUAAUGUAACAUUAAAAUUUAUGUCAAUAAUUUUUAACACAAAUCUAAUAUUCUUAUUAAUGGUUAAAUUUUAAUUUAACUCCCCCUUCGUAGAUAAAAUAUUUAACCUUUUUACAUAUCGUAUAUAUAAAGCUUUAGUCAAAUGUUAUUAAUGUUUAUAUAUUCCAUUGAGUUAAAAAUCAUUUCAUUUAAAUAUUUAAAAACUAUACCAAAUUGAUUUAUUAAUUACUAUAUAUAAAUUUUUACAUAUCCUACUCCAACCAUAAAUGGGCGAACAACAUAUAUAUGAUAUAAAUAUAUACAUGAACGAAUACAUUAAACAUGAACACAGUUUUAUCAUCUAUAUGCAUACUAAUGUCAUAGCAUGAAUAACAUAUACAUGUUAAAAAAAUUAAUAUUCCAACACUAUUCUAUAUGAAGAGAACACACAUUUAUCAAACUGGUUUAAUGUUAAUUUUAAUUUUACUUCAUAUUUCUUACUAUUUUUCAAAUUUACCUUUAAAUUAUUAUCAUUUUCAUAAAUAUCUUAAAUUUAUUAUUAAAAGACAAAAUUAACCCUUCCAAAACAUUCAUAAAUAUAUAAGAAUUAGUUACAUAAGUUUAAAAACUCAACUUUACACCUAAAUAAUAAAUAUUAAAUAAUAAUCGUUAAACCCUAAACUCAAAUAUUAUGAUAUCUUUAAUUGAUUUUUUCUAAAAUGCUAUCCAAGUUGGUGUAUUUCAAGCAAUUUCUCAAAUAGAAUCUUUACUAAAUAACUAUUUCGCAAGUACAAAAUACUAUAGUUUCUUUUUAAAAAAAUAAUUUUUUUUGUUUUUAAUAGUAUCCCAAAAAGAUCAUCUCUAUUGUAUAGAUUCGGUUUAAUUUAAUUUCUAUAUAAAUUCUAAAUUUUAGAAAUGAAACAUAAAACUAUGUAAAAUAGUUUUGUUACAUAAUAAUGUUUACAAAUAUUGUUUUUUAGAAAAUAUAAAAAAUUAUGUAAAAUUGUAUUGUUAUAUAAUAAUGUUAUAUAAAUUAGAAUAUUUUAGUACAAAAAAAUAAAACAUGCACAAAUGUGCGGAUCAAGAUCUAACUUCUUAUAAUACAGUAAGUGUUUAGGUUUUAGGAGAUCCUAUAGGAUUUGAUAUUCUACAUACAUGUUGAAGAUAACAAACAAUAAUUUUAAAUAUCAAGAUCUUAUCUAUAAAUUAUUUUAAAAAUAAAAGAUGUCUUAACUUAAAACAAAAUAUAUAUUAGUAAGAUUAAAAUUUUAAAAUGAAGAUCAUAUCAAGAAAAUAAAUUACGUAUAGAAAAAUAGUCUUAUAUAGCCCUAUAUCAACUUUUUCUUCCCAAUCUAGACUCCAAAGCCCAAUAUCACAAAAAUGUUUCAUUUAAAAUGACAAAUUACCUUUUUAUCCUUUUCAUUAAUUCUCCAAUUAAUUAAAAACAAAAAAAAAUGAAUUGACGAUCAACCACGGUCGUUGUCUUCACCUCCUUCAUCUCACUGUCAUCAGUUUCGGCGUCACUCUUUUUCGUCGUCCCCUAGAUCCGUCGUCAUCAUCUAUUAGCUCGGCCAUCGUCGUUGCAUAUCUUUGUGACAGUCUCUUUCAACUCCGUCAAAAGUAAGUUAUGACGGUCUCUCCCGGCUCUUUCGACGAUCUCCCUCAAUUCUGCCGUUGACGAUCUCCUCCAGCUGAGGCGUCAACGAUCUCUCUCAAUUUUGUUGUAUCUUAUACUUGUCGUCAUUAAGGGCCUCUUGUUUUGACAGGUGCUGAAUCAAAGAAUAUUGCAUAUAAAAUGUUUGAAAUAAUGUUUCUAAGAAGACACAAAGUGCAUGGGAAGAAGAAACAAAUGUUGGCUACUAAAUCAUAGAAAUUAAGUAACAAAGAGCUACUUUAUUGAAUUUGCUUCCCAAAAGUCAGGUUUUAUAACUCUUAUGUGGAAUCCACCAGUAGAUGUCACAUAGAUUUUUAGCUGUUACACGUAAGAAGAAGACAUAUGCAAAAGGCUUACACUAGAAAAUAAACUAUUUGUAGAAUGUACGAUAUAUUUUAUUUGCAAUGUUUCUGAGGAGGAUGAUUUUGGGUAAGAUA